CACAUGCAAGUCGAGGGGCAGCAUGGCCUUAGCUUGCUAAGGCCGAUGGCGACCGGCGCACGGGUGAGUAACGCGUAUCCAACCUGCCUUACACUCUUGGACAGCCUUCUGAAAGGGAGAUUAAUACAAGAUGUUAUCAUGAGUAAGCAUUUUCGCAUGAUUAAAGGUUUACCGGUGUAAGAUGGGGAUGCGUUCCAUUAGAUAGUAGGCGGGGUAACGGCCCACCUAGUCUUCGAUGGAUAGGGGUUCUGAGAGGAAGGUCCCCCACAUUGGAACUGAGACACGGUCCAAACUCCUACGGGAGGCAGCAGUGAGGAAUAUUGGUCAAUGGACGAGAGUCUGAACCAGCCAAGUAGCGUGAAGGAUGAAGGUUCUAUGGAUUGUAAACUUCUUUUAUACGGGAAUAAACGAAUCCACGCGUGGAUUUUUGCAUGUACCGUAUGAAUAAGGAUCGGCUAACUCCGUGCCAGCAGCCGCGGUAAUACGGAGGAUCCGAGCGUUAUCCGGAUUUAUUGGGUUUAAAGGGAGCGUAGAUGGGUUGUUAAGUCAGUUGUGAAAGUUUGCGGCUCAACCGUAAAAUUGCAAUUGAUACUGGCAGUCUUGAGUACAGUUGAGGUAGGCGGAAUUCGUGGUGUAGCGGUGAAAUGCUUAGAUAUCACGAAGAACUCCGAUUGCGAAGGCAGCUUACUAACCUGUAACUGACAUUGAUGCUCGAAAGUGUGGGUAUCAAACAGGAUUAGAUACCCUGGUAGUCCACACGGUAAACGAUGAAUACUCGCUGUAGGCGAUAUACAGUCUGCGGCCAAGCGAAAGCAUUAAGUAUUCCACCUGGGGAGUACGCCGGCAACGGUGAAACUCAAAGGAAUUGACGGGGGCCCGCACAAGCGGAGGAACAUGUGGUUUAAUUCGAUGAUACGCGAGGAACCUUACCCGGGCUUAAAUUGCAACCGAAUAUGGCGGAAACGCUAUAGCUAGCAAUAGCGGUUGUGAAGGUGCUGCAUGGUUGUCGUCAGCUCGUGCCGUGAGGUGUCGGCUUAAGUGCCAUAACGAGCGCAACCCUUGCCGAUAGUUACUAACAGGUCAUGCUGAGGACUCUGUCGGGACUGCCAUCGUAAGAUGUGAGGAAGGUGGGGAUGACGUCAAAUCAGCACGGCCCUUACGUCCGGGGCUACACACGUGUUACAAUGGGGGGUACAGAGGGCUGCUACCACGCAAGUGGAUGCCAAUCCCAAAAACCUCUCUCAGUUCGGAUUGAAGUCUGCAACCCGACUUCAUGAAGCUGGAUUCGCUAGUAAUCGCGCAUCAGCCACGGCGCGGUGAAUACGUUCCCGGGCCUUGUACACACCGCCCGUCAAGCCAUGGGAGCCGGGGGUACCUGAAGUGCGUAACCGCAAGGAGCGCCCUAGGGUAAAACUGGUGACUGGGGCUAAGUCAUAAC
rnacentral:rRNA from 1 species